rnacentral:rRNA from 1 species
CUGGCGGCGUGCCUAACACAUGCAAGUCGAGCGAACCCUUCGGGGGUGAGCGGCGGACGGGUGAGUAACGCGUGGGUAACCUGCCCUGUACACACGGAUAACAUACCGAAAGGUAUGCUAAUACGGGAUAACAUAUGAGAGUCGCAUGGCUUUUGUAUCAAAGCUCCGGCGGUACAGGAUGGACCCGCGUCUGAUUAGCUAGUUGGUAAGGUAACGGCUUACCAAGGCAACGAUCAGUAGCCGACCUGAGAGGGUGAUCGGCCACAUUGGAACUGAGACACGGUCCAAACUCCUACGGGAGGCAGCAGUGGGGAAUAUUGCACAAUGGGCGAAAGCCUGAUGCAGCAACGCCGCGUGAGCGAUGAAGGCCUUCGGGUCGUAAAGCUCUGUCCUCAAGGAAGAUAAUGACGGUACUUGAGGAGGAAGCCCCGGCUAACUACGUGCCAGCAGCCGCGGUAAUACGUAGGGGGCUAGCGUUAUCCGGAAUUACUGGGCGUAAAGGGUGCGUAGGCGGUCUUUCAAGCCAGAAGUGAAAGGCUACGGCUCAACCGUAGUAAGCUUUUGGAACUGUAGGACUUGAGUGCAGGAGAGGAGAGUGGAAUUCCUAGGGUAGCGGUGAAAUGCGUAGAUAUUAGGAGGAACACCAGUAGCGAAGGCGGCUCUCUGGACUGUAACUGACGCUGAGGCACCAAAGCGUGGGGAGCAAACAGGAUUAGAUACCCUGGUAGUCCACGCCGUAAACGAUGAGUACUAGGUGUCGGGGGGUUACCCCCCUCGGUGCCCCCAGCUAACGCAUUAAGUACUCCGCCUGGGGAAGUAC